GUCCCAAAUACUGACAAUGAGCCUUGCAAACAGACGACCCAAGUUGGAAACCAAAGAAACUAAAACUUCCAACUUCACAUGUCAAUCUCUUCUGUGGUGCUUCGAAAAGAAAAAAGUUCACAUGUUUAAAAGAAACAUUUUGUUAUAGAAAGUACCAAUGCUUUACAAGUCUCUAUUUUCGAAGUCUUAUAAUGACAAAUUUCACAAUUAAAAGUUCAUUUUUUUCUCGAAUACUUUUUAGUUUAAUAUCUAGUAAAGAGAAAUAAAUAGACUUUACUAUAUAAAGUAAAUAAACGCUUGAUUUUGAUAUACAAUCGAAUACAAUAGAAAAGUAAAAAAAUCCUAAAAAAGAUCUAAAGGACAUUUGUUGACUAUUUCUAUGUUAGCAAUAACAUUUUGAUAUUUUAGUCUGGACACCAUAAUAUUUUUAGUAGUUGUUAAUGACUUCGAACUAGCUUUCAUUAUAUUUUUUGGAAGGUUUGUGCUUUUUGAUGAUUCAACUGAUUUUUAAUAUGGAAAAUUAUUUUAUCUUGAUGUCGUAUUUACGUCUUUGUCAUACCUCAGGUUUAUUAAUUGCAAACUUGUAUGAAAUCACAUCUUCAAAGUGAGCCUAUAUCUAGGGGUUGUCGUUUGUUACUUCUUAUCCUAUCUUGUCACCGGAAAAUACUAAUCAAUUAUGCGCGCCUUUAUGACGUCAUUUACCAAAUAGAGUUGAUCACCUGUAUCGCUGCACUAUUAUCGUCCAUUAAGCGUCUUAGAGAUCUCAUUAUACAGGGUUGCCGAAAUUUGCAUCUGACAUAAGUUGAUACUACUUUGAUUGCGUCUUGAUACUUGAUCCUCUGAAUACCUUUGUCUGUCUGUUUGGGGAGUAUGAAAACGUAACUGUGAAUACUUUUAUUCUCGCCACUUCCCUGGUUUAAGACCGAGUACAUGAAAGGGGAGCUAGGGUUGCACCUGAGAUUUGCACAAUCACUAUGUCAAAAAGUACACUUUUGGAAACAAAAUCUAAAUCUGAUGAUUAUGUAAGCUGUUUAUGCAGUCGUGAAAUGUGUAGUUUUUUUUAUAAAGUCAUUUUCUUACUUAAGUUUUUAAGCGACUUUUCGGGGAACACUUAACUACGAAAAAAACCCAAAUAUUUAACCUCAUACUUGAAAAGGCCUCAUUUUCAAAACGAGAAAUCACACAUAUCGAAGUUUACGAUAUGGACAGAGGAGUUGACGAAAAUUUAUACCAUUACCGACACCAAUACACAGCAAAGCAAUGUACAAUUAUAUUUCUCGUGUAGUAAUUAAAAGUUAAAGAGAAUUCAUUUUUUAUAGAAAACAUUUCGUACUAUGCCAACAUAUUUUAAAAUUAUUCGUCAAUAAAACAUCUAUGAACUAUGAAAAUACUAUAAACUGACCUUCUUUAUCGACAAUGACACACAUUGUGGCUAUCACAAUAUGCAUCCGAAUGUCCCAAAUACAGACAAUGAGCCUUGCAAACAGACGACCCAAGUUGGAAACCGAAGAGACUAAAACUUCCAACCUCACAUGUCAAUCUCUUCUGUGGUGCUUCGAAAAGAAAAAUAUUUCACAUGUUUAAAAGAAACAUUUGUUAUAGAAAGUACCAAUGCUUUACAAGUCUCUAUUUUCGAAGUUUUAUAAAGACAACUUUCACAAUUAAAAGUUUAUUUUUUAAUUUAGUUUAAUAUCUAGUAAAGAGAAAUAAAUAGACUUUACUAUAUAAAGUAAAUAAACCUUGAUUUUGAUAUACAAUCGAAUACAAUAGAAAAGUAAAACAAUCCUAAAAAGAUCUUUUAGGACAUUUGUUGACUAUUUCUAUGUUAGCAAUAACAUUUUGAUAUUUUAGUCUGGACACCAUAAUAUUUUUAGUACUUGUUAAUGACUUCGAACUAACUUUCAUUAUAUUAUUUUGGAAGUUGUGUUUUGUGCUUUUUGAUUAUUCAACUGAUUUUUAUAUGGGAAAUUAUUUUAUCUUGAUGUCGUAGUCACGUCUUUGUCAUUCCUCAUGUUUAUUAAUUGCAAACUUGUUUGAAAUCACAUGUUCAAAGUGAGCCUGUAUUUUAGGGGUUGUCGUUUGUUGCUUCUUAUUCUCAUUUGUUUUUCGUUCAUUGUGUUCUACAUAAUUGAAGCGUUUAGUUUUCCUGUUUGAACUACUUUUGCCAGUUUGGGGCCCUUUGUAGCUUGCUUUGUAGCAUGAUAUUUGUAAGCUGUUGGUGGCCGUACGGUGACCUAUAGUUGCUUAUUUUCUACGUCAUACCACAUCUUUUUAUUUACAUAUUUACUAUUCUUUUUUUAACACUUGAAUAUAAAUUUAUUGCACUAAAGUUGUUAACAAUGACCUUACCGUUAUAGCUUUAACUGUAAGGUACCCUGAAAAUGUUAGUCCCGCUGGCCACGUUAUUACCGGUGACCUCAACAUUGUUAAUAACACUUCUCUACGAAAUGUGUUAUCGAAAGGUCCGAAAUAUCGUGAGCCUAAAUCCAUCAAUUGGAAAUUCAACUUUAAAAUUUUGAUGGAUUCAGUUGAGGAUUAUGCCAGGCAAUGGGCUAAGCGCGAGAAGGAAGACGUAGACACUCUUUCCGAAUGGAUUAAGGCAGUGAGGUCGUUGAUACAAAUCAGAAUUAAGAAACUGAAUGGGUCUAUCAAUGCCCAUGCUACGUCAAUCUUUAAGGACCCAAAUGUUGCAAAACACCUAUCCUACCCUCCAUGACAAAUAUGUUGUUGUCCCUGCAGAUAAAGCCCCAAACAACAUCGUUUUUGUAUGUAAAACUCAUUACAUUAACUGCUUGAUAAACGAAUUAGGUAUUGACAAUUCACUUGGAAACUCAACAUAUACAUUCACCACACUUACCAAAGAGGAAAUCCUGGAUAAUCAUAGGUCUGUUCUGUGUUCCUUUGGAAUUUCAACCAAGAUGAAGAACUGGAUCUGCCAUCACUGUAUUGGAUACCUAAACUACAUAAGUGUCCUUACAAACAACGGUAUAUUGCUGGGUCUUCCAAGUGCUCCACGAAACCUCUUUCUAAAUUAUUAACAUCUAUUUUAUCAGCAAUCAAAGACGGGCUUCAAAGUUAUUGUGAAACUGCCUAUUCUAGAGGGGGCGUGAAUCAAAUGUGGAUACUUAAAAAUUCCAAAGAUCUUUUAGAGUACAUACAAUCUAACUCUCUUUCAUCUUGUAAACAGUAUUAAAACAUUUGACUUUUCUACUCUGUAUACUAGUAUUCCACAUUCCAAACUAAAAGACAAAUUGUAAGAGUUGGUAUUGCUUUGCUUCGUAAAAAAGAAUGGCCAACGUAGAUACAAGUAUCUUGUCUUAGGGAGGGAUAAAUCCUACUUUGUAAAGGAUCACUCUGAUUCGAACAAACAAUUCUCUGAAACUGAUAUUAUCAAGAUGCUUGAUUUCUUGAUUGACAACAUAUUUGUUACGUUCGGAGGACGUGUUUUUCAACAGACUGUCGGAAAUUCCAAUGGGAACAAACUGUGCCCUUCUACUUGCCGACUUGUUUCUUUAUUAUUAUGAGGCUGAAUUCAUGCAGGAACUUCUUAGGAAGAAAGAUAAGAAGUUAGCACUAUCCUUUAACUCUACGUUUCGCUAUAUAGAUGAUGCUCUUUCACUAAAUAAUUCAAAAUUUGGUGACUAUGUGGAACGCAUCUAUCCAAUCGAGCUAGAGAUAAAGGAUACUAUAGAUACAGUUAAGUCGGCCUCAUAUCUUGACUUACAUCUAGAAAUUGACAAUGAGGGUCGGUUGAAAACAAAACUUUACGACAAAAGAGAUGAUUUCAGCUUUCCAAUUGUGAACUUUUCAUUUCUAAGUAGCAACAUUCCAGCAGCACCUGCAUACGGGGUAUAUAUCUCCCAAUUGAUACGAUAUUCCCGUGCUUGCAUUUCCUAUCAUGAUUUUCUUGAUAGAGGGUUGCUGCUCACAAGGAAGCUAUUAAACCAAGAGUUCCAAAUGGUGAAGUUGAAAUCAUCCCUUCGUAAAUUUUACGGACGCCAUCACGAGUUGGUUGACCGUUAUGGAAUAACCGUAUCACAAAUGAUAUCGGAUAUGUUCCUUACGUCGUAACUACAAUCCCCUUCCCUUUCCUGAAUGUGACCUACCGAAUAAGACUAUUUACCGGAUUUGUUAUCACAUAAGCAACACGACGGGUGCCGCAUGUGGAGCAGGAUCUGCUUACCCUUUCGGAGCACCUGAGAUGACCCUAGUUUUGGGUGGGGUUCGUGUUGUUUAUUCUUUAGUUUUCUAUGUUGUGUCAUGUGUACUAUUGUUUUUCUGUUUGUCUUUUUCAUUUUUAGCCAUGGCGUUGUCAGUUUGUUUUAGAUUUAUGAGUUUGACUGUCCCUUUGGUAUCUUUCGUCCCUCUUUUAGUAUUUAUAAGUACAGGGUAUUAUAUAGAUAAGUAUUAUUUUCUUACAUUUUAUAUUAGAAUAUUACAAUAUUACAAUUAAAUACAAUGUUCAAUAAUAAUAUAAUACAAUUGAAUACUCUGAUCUGAAAUUAAUGAUAUACUUUUCUUCAAUACAUGUAAUAAAAUUAAAUGACGUCCAUAUAAUACCCUUAUCCGAAAUUGAUUGUCCGGUGUCAAUUAUCUCGUUUAAAAAUUACAUGAUUUAAGAGUGUGUGAUAUCGAUUUUAUUGGUCGGAUAGUUUACACAUUUACUAUUCUAUUCAAAUAAAGGAACUAUUAUACCAAUGUUCUUGGACAUAUUUGUUUAAAUACUUCACCUACCUUGCUUGAUAAUUUGGAUGUGAAGACGCAUGUUUCGUUUAAACAAGACUCGUCCUUUUCAUUUAAAUCGAAGCAAUAUUAAAGCUAAAUCAAUAAGGAAGUUAUACAGUAUUGUCACGGUGAUAAAAACAAGUUAGAAAGAUGCCCUAUAAUUAUCCAGAUUAAGAUCCAGAGUACAGGCAAAUGAGACCAAUCGCUUCUCGAAAUAAAAAAAUAUGAUAAAUUUGUUUAGCAGUGGGUCUAAAACUUAAAUGCACGAAGCAAUAGACCACUUUCGAGUUUGUCUGUCACCGGAAAAUACUCAUCAAUUAUGUGCGCCUUUAUGACGUCAUUUACCAGGUAGAGUGGAUCGCCUGUAUCCCUGCACUAUUAUCCUCCAUCAAGCGUCUUAGAGAUCGUCAUUAUACAGGGUGAACUAGAAAUAAUGUUUGUUCUGUAGGUGCUUAAUCACAAUGACUGAUUGAAAAUUAUGAAAAUUCAAUGGCGAAUAAUUUUUGCAAUAUAUCAUCAUAGUUUCCCAACAACUCGCUCAACAUUCGAACGGAAGUGACGAUGCCCAUAAACACGAAUGAUGUUCAGUAAAUCCAACGUUUUUGACGGUAUUGCAUCGAACCUCAAAAGUUGUCUAUUUGUUAUCCUCAUUUUCCAUUAUUUAUUGGAUUAUUUAGCCAGAUAGUUGGAAAAAUACAGAAUUCAGCAAAUGUUUUCGUUUUCUAUAUUUUUCCACAUUCAGUUAACUUAUGACACAAAAACCAAUCACUUAUUCAAUCAGAUUUAUAUAUCCGAGUUUCCUCAAGUGUUUAGAUCUUCAAUUGAAUCAUAAAAAUGAUAAUGAUAAUAAUAAUAAUGAAUAACCUACAUCCUUUCGUUCCUAAAGAAAUAAAGAUAGACGUAUUAUCAUAUUUUUCCAAGUGUACAUCAUUUUAUAGACAUUUCUGUCUUAGAAUAUUUAGCCUUUAUCCAAUAUGUUAAAUGAAUUUUAUCUUAAGCUUAAAAGCUUGUGUGGGUUGAGAUAUUGACAUGUUGAGACACAUGCUGACACACUAUUUCAUUACUAAUGACAAACCUUUAUAUAAGAAUUGAUGGUUUCUGUAAAUGAAUUGUAUAAACAAGUUAAAGACUUAUCUCAAGAACAUAUAUAUACAGCAAACAGAUGACAUACCAGAAACAAGCAAAACAAGUCCGACAAACAGUAAACAUAGUUUGAAAAUAUUGAAGCUGUGAUUAAAAAAAAGAUGAACAACAGUAGUGUUCCUAUACUUUGAUACACGACGGCUUAUCUAUCAUGAUGUACGUUCAUUUGUCUAUUGCCCAGUUAAUUUACCAAUUAUAUCUACAGCUCUCUGGAACGACAAGGAAAUAUCUUUUGAAAAUUGAUAUAACAGACUUGAAUUGACACAAUUCGUGAACUAUUUUAUUGAAUUGUGAUUUGAAAGAGACAUCAGCAGAUAAACAAAAAUAUUAAAAGGCAUAUUCAGUUGCCUUGUACAAAUGCCAGAAUUCUUCGACGUUUUGUUUUGAACAAAAAAAGCAAUACAUGUAUGUAAAAAGCAAAGUCUGGAAUAAAAACAGAUUCUUUUUUUUCCUUGAAAGAAACAUUUUAAUAUAUAUGGAGAUCAUACAAAGAAUACACAGCAUGUACAUGUAUGUCAUUGACUGCAGUAAUCUUUAUGAAUAUACCUGUACGUGUACCCCACUAUAGUAACUUAAGAUUUCCAGGUCGAAAUUUAAAAUUUUGUUGAACUUCGUCCUUGUUUGUGCGUUUUCACAUUAUCUAAAUUAUUGCUUCCGGUUGCAGUCUUGUAAUUGACUGCUCCAUAGGCUUACAUGCUAUACAGCUGAUCUUUGAAAAUAAAAAAAUAAAAACUGCUACAUAGAAAAAAAAUUUCAUGUUCAUAUCAUGUAUGUACUAAUGUGAAAUGCCACGAAGAAUAAAAAGUUACGUAACCCUGAAGUCAAAACAUUUUUUUUCUACUUUCUGUUUGCUGUUUUCACUAGGCAGCACCACUUCCAGUAAACAUGAAAUCCUUCCACUUUCCUGGAUUGAUAUCCCCCAAAAAAUGCAAGAUUUUUUUUAAAUCUAUAUAUAUGAUUCAAUUCAGCAUAAAUCUAUAAUCAAACAGAAAAAAAUGAGUCCAGAAAAAAUUCAGAAAAAAGGGACUAUUUUGUUUCCCUCCAUGUUUUGACAUGCACCGGGAACUGGAGUUGUAAUACAAGACUGGUACCUUCCGAGUUCUUUUAAAGAAAUUAGUCACGAGAAUCUACACCCAGUAUACACGGGUGUCAUUCGAUUUAUUGAGAAAAAUGAUCGUGAAACAGUAACUAACGGUGGUCAAGUUUUGCAAGUCGACCGUGAAAGCUGGUACCGGAUCGUGAAAGAAAUCUAACCGAGAAUACAUAUAAUAGGUCAAUAAAUAAUCUAACUUAAUUUAUUACACGUACAAAUUUACAACACACAAAUAUUGAACUCAGAGAAAAAUCAAUUCGGAAAGUCCAUAAUCACAUGGCAAAAUCAAAUAACAAAACGCAUCAAAAACGAAUGGACUAGAACUGUGAUAUACCUGACUUGGAACAGGCAUUUUAAAAUGGUGGAUUGAACCUGGUUUUAUAGCUAGCUAAACCUCUCACUUGUAUGACAGUCGCAUCGAAUUCCAUUAUAUUGUCACCGAUGCGUGAACAAAACAAACAGACACAAUAGGUAAAAAUGUCAAAAAAAGGGUAUAACACAGUCACAUUUGUUUAUAUCUAAUCACUAUAAAAAACAAAAUGUAAAGAAGAAGCACAAACGCAUACAUCAAAUUUAGCAUCCUCAUUUUGCUUAUAUUAUACGAUUUAAUUUAUUUAUGUAAAAUGCACCCAUACAGGAUGAAAGGUUUUAAGUACUGGUGUAAAAUUGCGCGUGUGAAAUUUGCACAGGUAGACAUGAAAUAAUUUUGUCGUUCAAAGUAUGACGGAAUACAUAAAUACAGUCGCGUAAAAUAGAUAUAACAAAAACAGACUUAACAGUAAAAGUAAUAGUAAUAAGUAAAAUAAUAGUGUGGUUCAAAGUAUGACAAGAUACAUAAGUACAGAGUCACAUCAUAAAAUAAUUUUGUCGUUCAAAGUAUGAUGGGAUACAUAAGCACAGAGUUACGUCAAAAAGGAUAUCUCAAAACAGACUUAACAGUAAAAGUAAUAUUCAUAAAUAAAAUAAUUUUGUCAUUCAAAGUAUGAUAAGAUACAUAGGUACAGAGUCACAUGAUAAAAUAAUUUUGUCGUUCAAAGUAUGAUGGGAUACAUAAGCACAGAGUUACGUCAAAAGGAUAUAAAAAAACAACCAGACUAAACAGUAAAAGUAAUAUUAAUAAAGACAAAUAAAAGAAUAAUAUAACACGUUAUUAAGAUGAUAAACAACGUCAGUCAUAUACAAAACACACCACCAAAAAAUAAAAGACAAUACAAACACAUUGACGAGAUGUAUAAGUACCGAGCCACGUCAAACGGAUAUCACAUAAAACCAUUCAACAGUAAAAGUAAUAUUAAUAAUAGAACAAGGACAAAUGAAAGAACUAUAAAACACGUAGUUAAGAUGAUAAACAACAUCAGUACCAGAAUCUAUACAUCAAGACCAUCGUGUAUUAUUUGUGAAGUUGAUACAGAAUAUUUAUCAACAAGAUCUUGGUACCUUCCGAUGAACGUUUUUAGAAAAAGGACGAGACGCUCUUUGACAUACCCCUGGUUCAUCAACUUUCUACUCAGACACUGAUGACGUUUUACAAAGUCUGAGUAGGAGCUGCAAGCUCUUGAAUAUCGAAUAAGUUGGGAAAUAUAUAUCCCAUAUGCAGGUGAACUUGGUAUAUUGCUACUUAGGUGGGGGAAAUUUAUAAUUUCAAAAUUAAAAUCGUCUCAUUUGUCAUAGAUUCUGGUACUGAGAUGACUGUGUAAGUCAAAUUCGAGAUGUAAGUCUAAAAUGAGGCGGAGGAAGCCGUGUCUGUUGUUUCUUUAAUCUCUAGUUCUGGGGGAUAUAUUAAUGGAACCCAAUCAGAAAAGUUCGGAUUGUUUAUAGAAAGAACAUCAUCAAUAUAUCUGAAAGUGAAAUUAAAUAAUGUGGCUUCUUUGAUCCUCUUGUUUUUGACAAGUGCACGUGUCUGGAGGAACUCCGAUUAAAAUGAAAAUAAGAAGAGGUCGGCAAGAAGAGGCGCACAGUUUCUUCCCAUAGGAAACAGUCUGUCAAAAUUGUUCAACAUUAUGAGCAGUAUGUGAGAAAAUGAAGUUUUAAAAAUACAUAGUUUUUACAAAACAACAAAAGGCAGAUUGCUUCUCGACAUUUCAAUGACAUCAAAAAUGUAAAAAAACAUGAUUUUUCACAAAUUCGAAAAAUAGAAUAAACUAUUUUUUACCGAAAAAGGGCAUUCUAUUUGGAUAAAACGGUUCUCAUAGUUAUUUAAAUAAACAUAAUCUUAAACUUGGUGAAUUUUUUUUUUUUACACAAAACUGAUAUUACGUACCGCUUUAUUAAAAAACGUGAAAAGGAUCGUGAAAGAUGAGUCUUCAAUAAUAUGAUGAUUACUGACCGGGUCUCUUUUACUGGUAAAUAUAAUCGUACAAUGCCAUGGGAUCUUAUAAUCUUAUAAUACCAUACGGACUUGGUAAAUUAUAUCAAUAUCAGUAUAUUUGUUCAUCCGUUAUAAGUUUUGUUUUCUUUUACACGUUUAAGAUUGUUUUAUUUUGUAUUUAUAACUUUGAAUUUUCAUUUUUAUGCCCAUUUUAUUUAUAAAGCUUAUAUACCUGUAUGUUAUGGGGCCAUGAUAUGUGGUGUAUGGUGUACAUGUCUGUCUGCAUGCUACAUAUACGAUGUCAAUUGUAUUAGAUAAAUUGAAUGAUAGUAAGAUGUCUGUGUCUGACUGUCGGUCUGGGUUCAUAUCCUUUCGACUAUGUUCGGAAUUAAUUUGCAAAACAUAACUUUUACAUUUGUCAGUAUAACCGUUUCACAAAUGAUAUCGGAUAUGUUCCUUACGUCGUAACUACAAUCCCCUUCCCUUUCAUGAAUGUGACCUACCGAAUUAGACUAUUUACAGGAUUUGUUAUCACAUAAGCAACACGACGGGUGUCGCAUGUGGAGCAGGAUCUGCUUACCCUUCCGGAACACCUGAGAUCACCCCUAGUUUUUUGGUGGGGUUCGUGUUGUUUAUUCUUUAGUUUUCUAUGUUGUGUCGUGUGUGCUGUUGUUUGUUUGUCUUUUUCAUUUUUAGCCAUGGCGUUGUAAGUUUUGAGUUUGACUGUCCCUUUGGUAUCUUUCGUCCCUCUUUUAUAAGGUACUAUAAGCAUUGGAACACCUUUAUUUGGUGUUUGAAGAGAUCUGUUUGGUAUGGUUCAUCUGACCUUGACCUCUUUUUAUGAAUCAUUGACAAUUUUAAGCGUAUGUAACACUUCAAGUAAAACCCUUAAUAUAACAGACGUUCAACAAAUAUAUUAUCAUAAGGAAAUCAGACGAGACAUUUCAGCAUUUGCGCUCUGGUAUUCUUAAGCCUGUAAUAUAUAGUUAUCUCAUUGGAAAUCAAUCCACACCUGCUGCAUUGUAUAUACAGAUAUAUAGAACUUAACAAAGUACUGUUUCACAAAUUUUGGUUUUCGUUCAGUCUCAAAUUGUUCAUGAAAGAUGCUGUUUUUGCUAUAAGGUUUUAGUUGAUGGUCAAAUUUUUGGUUUAAACGUUGCAUAUCCAUAUUAUUGGCUAAAUAGUAGCAGUCUGCCUGAAUAGUACUAGACCGAUUCGCAGAGCUGAAUUUUUCACACUAAUUUAGAUACGAUUUUAGUUAUUUUUAACUUUUAGAGAUAAAGUUUUGAAUUAAAAAAAAUAAUAGCUUUAAUGUCCACUCUUAUAAAAAAAAGUUACCGCCUUCAAACAGUUGCAGGUAUAUCAAGUGGUAAAAGAAGUUUCUGAUUAUUAAGUCUGGUCAUGUAUUAUCUUUCACGAUCACAAUAAUGCAUUACCUGAUUUUUCCCGAUAAAGUUUUAUGAAAAAUCAACAAAAUUCAAGGUUUUCAUGAACAAAUCAACGGUUUUAAUUGAAGAACAUAUUUUUAUUUUUUACUGUACUAUAGGACCCACAAAGAUUAAAUUUCAAAUAUAUCAUGAUACAUUGAAAUAUGACCAUUAUAGGUACAAAAACCAAUUGUUUUAAAAUUAAUCCCAUAAAGUACUGCAUAUUUUCUUUAUUUCAUUACACAGACAUGUUGAGGAAGUGAAUCAUUUUGACAGACAUAUAUUUCUGUUCGGAUUUGUUCCGUGUUUUGUAAAUUCAGCUAUUUUCUCACAGAUUCUGAAGUAGAAUUUAUAUUUUAUUACAUUCACGUUCCGGUACCAGAGCUUUCACGAUCGUCUCGCAAUACUUGACCACCGUUAGAUAUUCUUUAACGAUCAAUUCUCUUGAUAAACCGAAUGACACCUGUGGUAUAGUAUCAAUCGAGAUGUAAAUGGAUCCUGCUCCACAUGUGUUACCCGUCGUGUUGCUCGUCUUAUUACAUCCCCGAUACAAAGUCUAUCUCGGUAGGUGAAAUUAGUGGUAAAUAGGGAAGAUGGUUGUUGUUGCAAAGUAAGAAACGUGUCCGAUAUCAUAUGUGAAACGGUUAUUCCAUAACCAUCAACCAACUCGUGAUGGCGUCCGUAAAAUUUACGAAGGGGUGAUUUCAACUUCACAAUUUUGUUUAAAAGCUUCCUUGUGAGCAGCAGCCCUCUAUCAAGGAAAUCAUAAUAGGAAAUACAAGGAGAUAUAUACUCCGUAUGCAGGCGCUGCUGGGAUGAUGCUACAUAGAAAUGGAAAGUUCACAAUUGGGAAGCUGAAAUCAUCUCUUCUGUCGUAAAGUUUUGUUUUCAACCGACCCUCAUUGUCAAUUUGUAGAUGUAAGUCAAGAUAUAAGGCAGACUUAACUGUAUCUGUUGUAUCCUUUAGUUUGAUUGGAUAGAUGCGUUCAACAUAGUCACCAAAUCUAUAAUAAUAUGCUUACCGCGCAACGGGAACACCCAUAAAUGACAAUUAUUCUAUAUCCCCAGACAAUUCAAAGGAUUUUUGAUACUGAUGGUAAAAUUAAGCUCAAUUUGUAUUACGAAUCAUAUGAAUUUAAUAUUAGUUUUCCUAUAGUCAACUUCUGGAAUUGAAGCAUUCCCUCUGGUGCAUCAUAUUGAUGACUUCUGACAUAGCUUAGUUUAAUUAUGAUUACCCUCUUGAUUAUAUCUAUAAAGACGAAAAGAAAAGGACGCAAACAUUUCAAUUUUAUUCACGAGCUAUUCGUUCAUUACCAUUAAUUGAUCAAUAAUUGCAAAGUCUAAAGUCUCAUUGUUCCCUAGUUAUGAUUUUGGGUCCUAAAUGCUCUUAAAUUUCUUACUUUAUGUGGUCUUUUUAACUUUAUGUUUCGAGCGUCAAUGGUGGGUCUUUUGUGGACGAAACGCGCCCCUGGUGUACAGAAUUACAAUCCCGGUAUAUUUGAAGAGUUUGUUUGAAAAUUCUAUUUUGUUCCCGUAUGUUCAUUAUUGUCAAUCAAAAAUUGAGAUUUUUAUGCUGCUUGCCUUGAUAUUUACCACUGUAUGUCAAGUCAGCCAUGGAAAUGUGUGAUGUAACGGUUGUUGCCUUCAUACAUAGCAUAGAUGGUUCCUCUUUCUUGGCCUCUUUUAUAUUUACCUAUGAUAAAGAAACUGAUGUUUUUGUAAAAUGAACUUUACUUUUAGCCCUAAAGAAAAAAAUUCUAAAUGACUGCUAUCUGAUUGUGACAUCUCAGGAGUAAUAGUUUAUCACACAGUGGUAGUAAUUUUGCCGUUGUCACUGUGAUAGUACACGAUUUUUUUUCUCUAGCAUCAAAGCCAUUGAAGGCAAAUAAGCAUUGGAGUUACACAGCAAGACAAACAAAGAAUAUGAAAAACAAUCAACCUGACGAUAAUUACAAAGUGCUUUACAUUUCUAGGACGUAUAUGAAGUUGAAAAUGAUAUUUUGAUUUAUACCAUCAUUCUAGAUUACAAAAUACUUUUGAAUGUUUAUUUUGAAAUAUAACUUGUCAUAAUUUUUAUAGUCUUUAAUAAAUAUUAUAAGUUUAUUGAGUGUAUUAGAAGGAGGUUGAGAUUGGACAGUUUCAACUACAACGGUAAUUGCUCUGUUAACUGUGCGUCUUUAUCUCAAAUUAUUAUCAUUAAUAUCAAAUGACUCAAUAUGUUGCUGCAAUUCCGUAUCUUAAAAUCUAUUGUAUUAACAAAUUCAUUAUGUUGUUAUGGUUUUUAUAUUCAUCGGAUGAAUAUGAUAGAAAAAAAAUGUAUGAACAAAGUUAUCAGAUUAUUUAGCUCUUCUUAGAAUGCUUAGAGAUUGCGAACCAAUAACGAGGUGCGCAAUUGAUCGCCAAAGAUUUAAGUAUUAUAGUUUUCUCAAAAUACACUAUAUCGAUGAAUAUCUAUUGAAGUAUUAUUAAAUCUUUUCCAUGAAACAAUUUCAGAUUUCCACUCCGGAGAUACAAAGUGUCUUGAAGAUUUAUAUUUUUCUUCUUUAGUUUUGGGUCGAUGAGUAUCAGCUAGACGGAAGAAAGUAUCGUUGUUCACACACGGGGCUGUAAUAAAUUUACGGAUUGGUGGAGUGGGUGGACGAAUCUUUACUGUAUAUGUUGGUCUGGGGGUUUUAUUUCUGAAAUAGAGAUGUACAGAAUAAAACGACCAUGUAUGAUAUGACUAAAUGUAAUUAAUGCAUGUAUUUGUGGAUAUCAAUUGGCCGCCGAUUAAAUACUGCAUUAGUUCCAGUAAUGACCAGACAGUAAAAUAGACAUGACGCACACGCAAGAACCUCCCCGUUCUCACAUACAACUAUUCAUUGCAGAGCAAACCUUUCUAAGUACCUGAGAUCACCACCGGUUCUUAGUUGGGCUCAUGUUGCUCAGUCUUAUGCUUUUUCUAUGCUGUGUUUUGUGUACCGUUGUUUGUUUUUUUCCUCAUACCGUUUAUCCUCUUUUAAAUCCUUCACAACUCUUUAAAAGUUACUGUACAAUGUGAUUCUAUGCUUAUUGUCAAACGCUGUUUACUGUCUUAUAGCAUUAGAUAUUCUCUACCUUUGGUAUCUGGUGAAUAUUUGUAUCAUUUGCCAGAUCAUACCACAUCUCAUCAUUUAUAUAGCUAUAUAUUCUACAUUAAAAAUAUAGUUUUUGUAGUAUGUCAAUCUAGUGAGUCGAUUUAUGACUUUUCUUAUCGGUUUUAUCAAUGGUUCAAUCACGAUCUUCGUUGACAAGUAGAUGUGGUACACUGCAUACGUUUUUCGAAUUUUCCUUUCAUAGAUUUAUAAGGUAUUGGAAAACAAGUACGAUUGCAGAUCUGGUAGAUAAAAUUGAGAAUGGAAAUGGAGUAUGUGACAUAGAGACAACAACCCUACCAAAGUGCAAAAAAGGCAGAACACCACCAAUUGGUCUUUAACAUUGCGAGAAAAUCCCGCACACGGAGGAGUGAUUCAGCUGGCCCCUAAACAAAAAUGCGUUCUAAGGUGACCUUCGGCUGUUUUUUUAAUCUUUGCACGGGUUGUUGUUUCUUUGACACAUUCCCCAUUUCCGUUCUCAAUUGUAUAGCAAAAAUACCGUACUCCGAUGUAAUUUAAAAACAGGAAAGUCCAUAAAGAUAACAAAAUCCAACAUUUUCAACAAACGGAACAAGUGGAAAACAACUUCAUAUUCCUGCAUUUUAAAAAGAAAAUGUGUGAACCUGGUUCUAAACCUCCCUAUGGUCACCGGUUUUCUACUGUUGCUUUAAUUUGACUAGUCCGUUUAAGUCCCAAACAUUUAUACAUCUUCGUCUUUUAAUGUUUAGAUAUUUGAGCGUUUCUGAAAAAUGUAAAUCCAGAUGAUCGCUUCAAACGCACUAAAUGUAUAAAGUACUUAUGCAUUUCCUUGUAAAUCGACUACCGUUAUAGAUGAUUUACGCAACGAAAUAGUAGUCUUAAGUUAUUAAUAUCGAAUCAGUACUUUAUAAACACAGAAUCGACAACUUUCUAAGUACAGAAUUUGACGCAAAAAUACAACAAACUGGCACAGCAGUAACAUUUCAAUCAAGGAAAAAAUGUUGAGAUGAGCUCUCUAGUAUGUACGAUUAGGAAGUUUUUUUCAUGAUACUUUUUUCGAUUAUCAGUUUAAGCAAAUUAACAGAAAUCGUAUUCUCCGUUUUAACAUUUUUCCAAACAUAAAUAAGAAGAUGUGGUAUGAGUCCCACUAGAAAAGAAAUCACCCACCAUGUUCUUGAAGGUGUGUCAGUUGGAUAGUAGUAUAGCCCAAGUUGACCAUUAUUUUAUUUUACCUCUUGACUUUAUUUUUCAAGCGUCACGAAGGAGCCUUUAGUGUAUAAAAAAAAAGUGCAUCAGUCGAGAUAUAUAUUAUUCUUUGAUAUUAAGUCUUGUUUACCUACUGAUCCUAUAUAUGAUUUUUUUAUCUUUGAUCUCGUAGAGACAUAACUUGAAAAUCUUACAAGUAUAAAUACACAUGGAUAUCGACUAAAAGACAACAUGUUAAUGGCAUGCCAAACAUCUCUCUUUAUGACAAUGUUUUAAAAAUAUCACUAAAACACUACAUGAAAAAAAUAUAAUAGCACCAACGCACCAAGAACAUUCAUAACAGAGAAACGCAUAAACUUACAAUAUAAUAGUCGACAACAUGCAAACCACAGAUCAACAACGAACAUAUUCCAACGACGACAAAUACAACAGGAUAUCAAAGACGGUGUCUUUUGGAAAAUGUUGUUUUAUAUAAAAAGUCUUUAUUGAAAAAAAACGUAUCCAACGCAAUCAUAGGUUUGAACGUUGUUAUCAAUUUAAACUUGUUUAUAUAUAUAUAUAUAUACCACAUGUCUAAAUUGAAAACAAUGUUCAUACCUAUGAUUGCGUUGGAUAAAACCGCAAUUUGUAUACGUGUGCAUGCAACCAUUUCGUCUACAGCACAAACAACAUUUUCCAAAAGACCAAAAGAGACAUGUCGAACACUGAUGUUCUUAAACCCUACUGACUGCCAUUUACGAUUGCCAAAAAAAAUUGGUCAGAAGGUGUAACAUAAUGGAUCUCUAUGUUAAUCUAAUACCAAGUAGAAGUAUAUAUGUAUAUACAUAGAGAGAGAUUGCCUAAUAAUGUGAUUUUAACACACUAUUUAGUAUGUAAACAUAAGAAUGUUUAAAAUAUUUACAAAAUAAUGAAAAUAAACGCAAUAUUUCGCGAGACCAACUAGCUUUAUCAAGCGUGCAUCUAUCCAGGUGAAAUCGGAUGUAGACGAUAAGAAACUUUUGCAGAUCAAUGUAUAUGUUGCACUUGAAUUUAGCUGCUUUGAAAAUAGUACAUAAUUUGAUCUAUUCAGGUGAAAUCGGAUGUAGAUGAUAAAAAAACUUUUGCAGCUCAAUGUAUAUGUUGCACUUGAAUUUAGCUGCCUUGAAAUAAUACAUAAUUUGGAUCUAAAAAUAAUACAUAAAUUUGGAUCCAAUAUGUAUUAUUUUUAGCAACGCAUCACUCUCUACUGUCCUCGUCUAUUAUUCUAUAUCUGCGUCUCCGUCUAGAUUUUCGUGUACCAUGAGGGUCCGGAUCGGGGGUGUUGUUUAUUUCUGUAUUCUUUUAAUUGUUAUGUCACUUUUCUCUAAAUUUUGUUUAUUUUACUCAUUAUUCUUUCUCUAUUCUUUAUAUUUUAGCAAUAUAUUUUACUUUUGAGGACUCCCGGCCGGAAAAUUAGUUUUAACUUACUGGAUCAUCCUCUUGAAAUAAAGAUUAUUUAUUUAUUUACUUACUGAUUUUUAUUUACAUUACGACUUUUAUCUCUGAUUUAUAUACUGGUUACCAAUGUAGAUGACAAAUUCGUGUCAUUCAUGACAAUCAAGCAGAAUUCAUUUCAUAUAUGCGACCAUUCUUGGAUGAAAUUAAGAUUACUUUAAUAUUACACUUUUUGAAACCAUUUUUAUCAAUUUUCAAUUUCCAUUGUCUAAAUUGUUCAUUGUUCAUGUGUUGUUUCCGUAUAUUUUAUAUUUCAUUGUUCAUGUUUUGUUUCCGAAUAUUUCAGCCACUAGUCUUGAGCCUACCCAUUUGUUCCGAUAGCACCCUAUAAAGCAAUCAUAUUAUACUUUUAUUGCCAUCCGGUUUAUUUGUCGGUUGAAAUUAUAGACCAUAGCGAUACCCCGAUACAAAUAAAUCAUCAGAAUUUUUAUGCAAUCUUUUGUCGUUCGCAAGGUUGCUUAUCAUGGUUGUUCAGGCCUUUAGAUGUUUUCAUAUCAGAUGUGGUGAGAAUGUGGUAUGAGUGACAAUUAGACAACUCUCCAUCCAAGUCACAAUAGUUAAAUCUAUAUAUAAAAAAGAGAAACGAGAACAACUUAGGAACCUUACUAAGAAACGAUAACAUCUGCAACUUCUAAAAAAUAAUUUAGUAUGUUUUAUGAUGUUUAAACAUAGAAUGCAUGUCAAAGUACGAGGCUAUCUGAUAAAGAUAGGUCUUUAUGUUGAUAAUAUCGGCGAUAGCACAGAUUUCCCUUGUGUGUCUAUAUAUAAUAUGAAGCAUAUACAUUAAAUGCAAUUUUGAAAUCUCAGAAAAACACUAAAUUUAACAGUAUAUAAAGAAAGAAUAAAUUGACAAACGGACAUGCUAGUUGCUAAAUCCACUACCCCAUCGUGUCAUGUGGCAUAGCGAUAAAAUGUUAGUAACAAUAAUUUGAUAAAACACCAAAACUUAAUUGGUAUACUUAAAUUUUGGACGUAACACGAAAACUUAAUUGAUAUACUUACAUUUUGAACGUAACACGAAAACUUAAUUGGUAUACUUACAUUCUGUACGUAACACUAAAACUUAAUUGAUAUACAUGUACUUACAUUUUGGACGUAACACGAAAUCUUAAUUGGUAUACUUACGUUUUAGACGUAACACGAAAACUCAAUUGAUAUACUUACAUUGUGUACGUCACAAAGUUAACAACGUGUUUACAACCUUUCAAAUAUCAACUUUAUUCCGAUUCUAUCGAGGGGUCGGGGUUCAUAGAAAGAAGGUAAAAUAAAAGAUAUGUAAUUUUGAGUAAUUUUUAUAUAAAAACAAAUGUUACAUAAAUAUGUUGAUGUUUAUAUUUAAUUAUCAUUUUAAUUUUCAGUUUCAUAGAAUGGAAUUCUGUAGGCCAAUAAUGUAGGUAUGUGUAUAAAUAUAUAUUUAUAUUUAUGUAAUAUUUGGAGAGAGAUUUAAAAAAAAUAUAUAUAUAUGAGUCUGAAAGAUUGUGUAACAAUACCGAUAAAUAGAUGGAAAACAAAACACUAAAAAGUGUUGAAUAUCAUUGCACAAAGAUGGAAAAAUAUAUAUAUAUGUUUUAAUCCUUGCUUUUCCUUACUCAUUGCAGUUGUUUAAGUUUCAUGGGUUACCUAUAAAUAAAUGAAUGAAAAGUUUGAACUAACUUCUUAUGGUUAUAACACUUCAAAAACUGCUAGAUUUUGUAAGUAAAACGAUCAGUUGUGGUUACAUUUUGUAUUGCAAUAGAUUGUUUUUAUUACAAAUAUUCAUUUCUUCCAAUUUUUUUUAUUUGAUGUAUGAUUGCCAACUGGACAACUAUCCAACAGAGUCCAAAUUAAACUGAUUAAAGCAAUUAUAUGGCCAGGGAACAGCCUUCAAAAAUAAACAGAAGUCGUCUUGUUUUUGUGGAACAUAUGGAAUGUGAACUAGUUAACUUGACAAAGGUUUUAUGGAUGAUUUGGAAUAAUAUCUUUUAAUUUGUUGAAUAUUGCAUUAUACACAUGUGUUGUACACACAUGUUAUACGCAUCAUUUAAAACGCAUAUCAUACACAUGUUUCUUACAACACAUAUUUAACGCAUGGUUUUGAAACAUGCGUUUAACAUUACACAUAUUUUUCAUGUGUAAAACGCAUGAAUAACGAAUGUUUUUAACAUGCGUUUUACAGUACAUGUAUUUUUCAUGCGUAAAACGCAUGAAUAACACAUGUUUAAAACAUGCGUUAUACAUGCGUGGUAGGAAAAAUAUGUUUCCCAUGCGUUUCCAAACGCAUGUUUUACGUACGUAAAACAUAUGUAAAACAUGUGUGGCACUUUUUCCUGUGUAGUUGAUAAAACUUUGUUCAAAGGAUCCAGUAUUGUUAGGUUAAAACGAUGUUGAGAAGGAUAAGAUUAAUCUACCAUAUUGAAGUGUAAGAGUUUCGUCGAUAACUGAAACAGAUGCAUCACCAUAAAGAGAUUUGUUAUAUUGUCCAAUAAAAUCUGUCAGUUUCGGAGAUGUUAAUUUGUGUCUUAAUUCUCGCUGUCGUGUUCUUCUCUGGAAUAUGAUUCCAUGGUGAUGGGUAGCUACAUGCUGUUGUUUCAUUUAACCAUGGUUCACGCUCCAGUAAUGUAUCGACGAUAUAAUAAUGGUUGGAAGCAUGGUAUUACGGAAACCUGAUUUUCCAAGACCAUUCGAGUUUAGAAACACACUAAUAUUUUUGCUUGGAAACAAUCGAAGAACUGAAGUACAUCCGUAUAAUCCUCCAGUGUGGAAAUACAUGUCUAAAUCUGUAAAAUACAUAAAUGUUUAUAUGAUAAAUACUACAUCUUUGAACUCCAUGGCUAGUUGCUAAGGAGUAAUUCAUGCGAACAACUGUUACAGUUCUUGCGAAUUUAUGAAGGACUGUGAAUGUGAUAUAAAGAAGAUUCAGAUUCAAUAUAUUUAUCUCUAUUCUACAGUAAAAUGAACAAAUCAGUCAAUUUUAAUUUAUUUUUCAUGAUAAAAUUUCAUAAAACGAAAAUUCUGCAAAAUGACGCUUUUGUCUUAGCAUGGCAAUGAAACAAGGUGACGUCACAGGUAUAUUUCCGUAUACAAAAAAUCAAACGUAAAUACCGGACGUUUUAAAGCUUCUUGUACGCCUUAGAACGAAAAAAAAUGCAUUUGAAGAAAAUAUAUAAGUGAAAAAUGCGAUUAAAAUGUUAUCAUGAAUUAUAUAAUAUUACAUAUAUUAUCAAAAUUGGGUGAAACGGAACAGCCAAAACAGUAUCGGAUGUAUAGGGCUUUCACGGUUAACAAAAUUGCCGAAUCUGUCCUAUUAGAAUCGAAAUAAUUUAUGGCAGCUAACGCUCAGGGUAAAAUAAUCGAAUAUAAAUGCCAAACCCAUGGUUGAGUGAAAACAAAUCUACGGCUGCCAUGAAUUAUUUCUUAAAUAUUUGCAUUUAUUUAAAUGUUUAUAUGUGUUCUACUCGGACAUAUAAGACUGACUAUGGAUGAACCAGUAUGUUAACUGCAAAGUACCGAGUAAUGAGGUAAGAAGCAGCAAAUAUCCCUUUUCAACCCUUGGUUUGACCAGGGGUCGAAACCUAGACCUGCAUCUAUCAUGAAAACCUUUAGUAGACUCUAAUUUCUUGUUUCAUGCCGUUUUUUAGGCAUAUAAGCUGCCUUAUGCGAGCACCCUGGAUUUGUAUUCUACCCAAUAAAUGCUGAAAUACGUGCCAUUGUUAUCAUCUAGCUGGCUAAUAUAAUAUUUAUAACUUAUUGGACAGUUUUUUCAUACUUUUUAUUCUGGAUUACAAAAAAUAUGACCAGAAAAACCUUAAAUGAUCGUCGAUUUUCCCAAAAGUUUUGAAGUUGCACAUUAGGAAUCCUUAUGUAGUUUAUUCUCCCCUGAGCUUUUGUCUAAGAUGUCAAAGAACAAAUGUAUGAAAUAUUUAAUCGCCGAAAAUCUCUAAAGACAAGUAGUUAGCAAAAGUCGUAGGAAUAUUGUUUGUCGUCAAUACGUAGUCAACUACGUCAGUAGUCUAUUAAUCAAUAAAAGUUCAACUGAUCACGCUGUUGGCGGCAAUUUUGAAUUAGAAGACGAAAUUUUCGUAUCUUUUCAAUUUGGACGCAGGGGUUCAAAUUAGCGGUGGUCUGAGGUCUGAAACCUUCCACUAUUGAUGUCGGACUUACUACUUGGUUACUAGCUAUGCCCGACAUGCACGACGGACCUUGAAAGAAAAUUUAAAAAAAACUUUGCAAACAUUUUUACCAAAGUUUCUUAUAAACGAUCUCAAACUUAUUUUCAUCAUUACUAUUCAUGGCAGCGAUGUUCAAUUUGUUCAACCGCUAGCUUUAUACAGAAAAUCGCUGACAAAUAAUGUGUAAAUCGGACUAAAAUCGUAUCUCACUAUCUGACAAAAACAACAUUAAAAACAAAAUGGCUGCCGCGAGAAGACAAUUACAAUAUCGGAUCCAAUUCCGGAAGCGGAUAAGGAUAAUUCCGGGUUUCGGAUAUCAACUAAAAAAAUCCCGACAUGUGACAAAAUACAUCUAUGCAUGGUAAAUAAAUAUAAACACUAGAAUUGAAAACCAAAAAAAAAUAUGUAAAAGAAAGAAAAAGCAGAACAUAUUUUGUACACCAAUUUUAAUGUCAAAAUCUAUUACAACGUGACAGCUGGGAACAGUUUAUCUAACAAUAUAUAUGUUCCUGGUAACAGUAUUAAUUUUCUUUAUCAGUGAUAAAUGUUGGUAAUGCAUGUUAGAUGCUUUUCAAGUUAAACAUAUUACUGCAAUUUCAAGGGGUAUUUUUUUCUUCUCAAUUUUGAUAGGUCAGUUAAAAUAUAAGUUUUUUAUAUAUAAAAAAAGAUGUGGUAUGAUUGCCAAUGAGACAACUAUCCACAAGAGACCAAAAUGACACAAACAUUAACAACAAUAGGUCAUCGUACACCCUUCAACAAUGAGCAAAGCCCAUACCGCAUAGUCAGCUAUAAAAGGCCCCAAUAAGACAAUGUAAAACAAUUCAAACGAGAAAACUAACGGCCCUAUUUAUAUAAAAAAUUAACAAAAAACAAAUAUGUAACACAAAAACAAACGACAACCACUAAAUUACAGGCUCCUGACUUGGGACAGGCACAAAUAGUGCAACUAUAUUAUAUGAUACCUGAAUUUAAGCAAAUCAUUUGAUAUAUAGGUGGAGUCCAUUGGGCCACUCUACCUCCUCCUGUUUGAUAACUUUGAAACGGAUGAGAUCCCCACCCCUCAACCAUAUACAUUCAUGUAUGAGACUAAAUAACUAAUCAAAUGAAAUAUAUGGGAAGUCCCUAGGGUCACCCCACCCCCUCCUGUUUGAGAACUUGGUAACGGUCGAGAUCCCUACACCUAAACCAUAUAUCUUCAUGUAGGGUACAAUAUAACAAAUCAAAUGAAAUAUGUAGGGGAGUCCCUGGGUAUCACCCCACCCCUCAUAUUUGAGAACUUGGAAACGGUCGAGAUCCCCACCCCUAAACCCUAUAUAUUCAUGUAUGGGACAAUAUAACAAAUCAUAUGAAAUAUAGGUGGAGUUCGUGGGGCCACUCUCCCCGUUCCGGUUUGAGAAUUUGAAAACGGUUGGGAUACCCAAUCUUAAACCAUAUAUAUUCAUGUAUGGGACAAUAUUACAAAUCAAAGGAAUAAUAAGGGGGUCCCUAGGGUCACUAUAAACCCUCCUGUUUGAGAACUUGGAAACAUUCGAGAUCCCCAACCCUAAACCAUAUUUAUUCAUGUAUGGGACAAUAUCACAAAUCAUAUGAAAUAUAGGUGGAGUUCGUGGGGCCACUCUACCCCUUUCUGUUUGAGAAUUUAUAACGGUCGAGAUCCACAAUCUUAAACAAUAUAUAUUUAUGUAUGGAACAAUAUUACAAAUCAAAUGAAUUAUGAGGGGGUCCCAAUGGUCACUGUACACCCUCCUGUUUAAGAACUUGGAACAAUUCGAGAUCAUCACCCCUUAACUAUAUAUUAUACUCAUGUAUAAGACUAUAUAACAAAUCAGAUGAAAUAUAGGGGAAGUCCCUGUGGUCACCCUACCCCUCAUGUUUAAGAACUUAGAAACAGUUGGGAUCCCCAACUCUAAAUUAAAUGAAAUAUAGGGGGAGUCCCUGCAGUCUCCCCACCCCUCCUGAUAGAGAAAUUGGAAAUAGUCGAGAUCCCCACCUUUAAAUUAAACCAUAUAUAUUCAUGUAUGAGAACUAAUCAAAUGAAAUAUAGGGAGAGUCCUUAGGGUCACCAUACCCACUCCUGUUUGAUGAAUUAGAAAUAGAUGAGAUCCCCACCACUCAACCAUAUAUAUUCAUGUAUUGGACAAUAUAACAUAUCAAAUGAAAUAUAGCGGAAGUCACUGGGGUCCCCCAACUCCUCCUGUUUGAAAACUUGAUAACGGUCGAGAUCCCCACUCAUAAACCAUAUAUAUCCAUGUAUGGGACAAUAUAAAAAAUCAACUGAAAAAUAUGGGUAGUCCCUAGGGUCAACCACACCCUCUUGUGUGUGUUUUGAGAACCUGUAAGAGAUUGAGAUACCAACGCCUAAACCAUAUUCAUUCCUGUUUGUCAUUUCAAAAAAGAUUGAAUGACAUACAAGGUUAAUCUCAUAGGCAACACAUAUACAUAUCACUUUGCUAGACCCUAACACCUGUCAUUUUAUUCCAAACUUAGACAUCAUGGCAUGGACUUGGGGUGAAGGUGGGAGUCAUUUACAUUUACUAUGUACAGGUUAGUCAGACCUCACCAUUGAUCACUAUAGUAGAAAACAUUUGUCUGAUUUGUGUCUCAUAACUUUUGUACUGUACAACACAAUCUCAGUUUUCUUUCCAGGGAAGCAAGUCCAUUCAUACUUUUACAAGCUCGUACUAAAGUCAACUUGAACUACUAACAGUCAACUAAUACGAACAAUUACGAUCAACUAGAAGAAUCAUUGCAAAUUUGUACCACUGCUGACUCAUUAAAGACUCAUGACCAUUCAUGGUCAUGUGUGUUGCUAUUGAAAACCUUGAUAAAAUAUGAACUAUUUGCCUUAAAGAUUAAUUCAUUAAAUGAACAUAAAUGUACAAUUAUAUAUGAAUGUUUAAUGUUUGUUCUUUUAAAUCUUUAAAAAAAAGUUGAAACAACAUUGCCACAGUUUUCAUAAUUAUGUUUGCCUUGGUUUUUGGUUAACUGCCUACAGUGCUUACAGCGCUUUGAUUUAAACUUCUUUUCUUAUUAUUUAAAGAAUGCAAUUGUACCUCCUCACCUCUAUAUUUUGUUAAAAACCAGGCCAUCCCAUGGUGUUGUCAGUUUAUUUUAUCUAUGAGUUUAAACGUCCUUCUGGUAUAUUUUGCUGCUCUUUUAACUCAGGUGUAUAUGUAGUUUAGUUUAUGAGACUAACUAAAUAUAUACAUGUAGAUAAACCUUUAAAAAAUUGUAUGAUACAUAUUUCCCCGAAAGUAAAGUAUUGCCAUAAUGAAUUAUGCUUGCUUUUGGGAUCCCAAACGCAAAUUAAAACUAUAAUUCAUUAUUUUACUUAAGGGAACCAUCAACCUUCAUUGAGCAAUAUAAUACCAAACUAUUUGAUAUAUGUGUUUAUGUCCCCGACAAUAAUUGUGCAAAAAUUGUUUCUUUUACCUGAGGAGACUCGUUACUUUUCAGGAAAGCUAAAGUUUUAAAAUUUAUAUCAUAAUCUCGUCUAUUUUCUUAAAAGGUUCAUCGAAAAGUACCAAGACCUUGAUGAUAAACAUUCCGUAUCAACUUCAUCAAUUACACACGUUCUUGAUACCUACAUUGUUUAUUAUCUUAAUAACAUGUUUUUGUUUCUUUUAUUUGUCUUCAAGAAUUAUAGUUUCACUGUUUAUUCUGUUUUUAGUGCUAUCUAUUUGCUCUCUGAUCUCUAUGACUGUGUUCUUAUACAUCCCGUCAUUGUGUUAUUGUUCUAUGAUCAUUUUUGUAUUCUUGACCUUCAUUUUUGCUAAUGUGCUUUGUUUAUAUACCUUUUUGUGUUUCUUCUAUACAUUUGACGUGACUUUGUAUAUAUACAUCCCGUCAUAUUGGUAUUGUGCUAUUGUACAAAGUUUAAAGUGUGUUAUUGUGUUGUGGUACAAUUUUGUAUUCUUGUCUUUUAAAAAUUUGCAAUUGUGAUUUGUCUGUUGGUCUGUGUGUACUUCUUUGAUAUUUAUUUGUUUGUUUUCAUAGUUUUUAACAUUAUAACAUAAUGUUGUCUGUUGUACCCCUAAUUAUGUUUGUUUGUUUUGUUCACACAACGUUGUCAAUAUAAUGGAAUUUGAUGCAAUGGCAUACAAGUGAGAGCUAUAGUAAGCUAUAAAACCAGGUUUAAUCUACCAUUUUCUACAUAUGAAAAUGUCUGUAUCAUGUCAGGAAUAUGACAGUUGCCAUCCAUUUGUUUGAUGAGUUUGAGCUUUAGAUUUUGACAUUUGAUAAGGGAUUUUACGCUUAGAAUUUUUCUCGGAGUUCAGAGUUUUUGUAAUUCUACUUUUAAAUAAGUUGCAUAAGGCCAAUUAAAAUUAAUUGAUAGAUUUUCAUCCCCGCCUGCCCCUCUGAAAUCGUCCCGCCCAGAUUUUUUUUAUUUUGAAAAAUUUACGAUUUCCGGAUUUUGUUAAUUUCCGUUACCGGUAAACGUCAAUGAUUUCGUUUCUUUCAAAACUUCCUGUUUCAAUUUUCGUUUUUCGUAUUUCUUCACAGGAGUUUGAAAUCCUAUCAAUAAGGGGGUAAACAUAUACCAAAGUCGACUAUCACAGUAGAGCUUCUCUCGAAGAGAGAAUCGAUUUCAAACUCCUGUGAUUUCUUCGAGUAAUUUAGAAUAACUCUACAGAUCUAUGAUGACAACAUCAUCUACCGAGAAUAGAGAUUGAUUACGGGAAGGGCAUAAAAUUUUCGGGUUACGAUUAAUAUGCUGUUCCAAGAGUGCAAAUCGCUGCAGCAUGACACAAAUUUCUAUGAUUAGAAAACCGUGGAAAUUAUUAUUGAUACUGUAAAAUGUCAAUGACUUUGUGUCGGGAAUUUUGGACUGUGAAUGAUAUCCCAAGCUCAAGAAUUGUGGAACACGUUGGUACAAAAAUGACCGGAUUAAAACAAUUGACACAAGCUCGAACUUGUUAGAUUUUUGAGAUAUAUUGAGUUCAAAAAGUCGGCAAACAUACAUUUUGUAGAUUUAUCCAUGGCUAUUCUUUUUUUGUUGAGAAACAGCAAACAACCUCUGCCCCAAUACAUGUAGAACAGUGUUUGCCAAUCAGAGAUAUUAAUUUUAAGAAUUUGAAAAAUUAUGUACGAUUCCUUGUACAUGUAUAUACAUGCUAGAAGCUUAUUAUUGCUCUUGCAUAUAUGAAGGAAACGUCACAAGAUGGUUUGAUAUGAAAUAAAAAAUAAAAAGUAAAAUCCUCCCACCCGCCCCAUUUGUUUCAAAAAUUUGGAUGAAAAUCUACUAAUUAAAUUUAGUUGGCCUAAUUCCAGUUCAUGUAUAGUUUUUUGACGAGGAUUUUAGUUUUUUUUUUUUUUUUUUUUAAUAUUAAACAUAUUUUAUUAACAAUCACCUGUUACAUCAACGCUCAGUUGCUCAGGGAAGCAACUAAGGGGGCCCUAUUUUUACAGUCUCAUUUGUCGGGGAAAAAGCAAAUGAGAAAAAAACUCCCACUAUAAAUUAUUAACAUCAACGUUUAUAAAUAUUAUCUAUCCUUGUACAACAUGUACCUGCAAUCAUUAUCGAUCUAUAUAUCUAUACCUCUCACCAUAUAUAAUUAUUUGAAUAAAGUAUGUUUUUUUAUCUUUAUUUAUUUCUCACAAAGGCUACCUGUAUUUAUUAAGCAGUUUCAAUUUUAUCGUACAUCAAGUCUUUUGUUAUGUUAAUUUCAAGUACAUUAAAUUUCUGGUCGAGUGAUCAUUUACCACGUGAGAUUUGUUAAAGGGAUGUGUAGUUCAUUCAUUUAAAAAAAAUGGAUUAAUAAUUUUGAUUCCAAAUAAGGAUUAAUUUCAAAGAUAUGGUGAGUAAAUAUUUGUUUAUAAUAUGAACCUGUUGAUACAACAUGUCUUGUUACAAUUAGAUGAUAUACAUGAAUACAUACACAACAGAAAUUACAUGUAGGGAGUUGAGAGCAGUGUACAUAUUAUUAUUCAAUCAGUAUCAAAGAGGUCAUUGCACUGACCUGACCACGCAAAAUAUAUAUUUAUAUACAAAAAAUGUAACACAUAGUAGAAAAAGCUUCGAUUUUCGUAUUCGGUUUAAGAUAUUUGAGCAAAAAUUGCAUUUCAUGUUUUAUCAUAUUUAAAAUCACCGAUUUACUUAUCCCUAUCUUUUGAUAUUUUGCGAUAUUUCUAGUUUUCCAGAUAACCCAUUUCGUGAUUAAAAGCACCGUAUCUAAAAUUUGGGUAUAAGAUGCAUCUGCAUUAAUGACCCCAAAUAUUAUACUUGUUUCUGAUUUUUGUAAUUUUUGGAUAUUUAAUUUUGAACAAAUAUUCCCUUAUUUUCUCAAAUAUUUCCCGCCAAACGUCUUCCACCAGUUUACAAUAAAUAAAAAGAUGAAAUAGUGAUUCUUUUUCAUUGCAAAAGUGACACUUCCCGUUUGAGCGAUUCAUUUUUUGUAAUUUUUCUUCAGUGUAAAUUAUAUUAUGUAGUAACUUCCAUUGAAAUUGUUUAAUUUUCCUGUUAGCUAAAUUCUUAUUCAAAGUUUCCCAAAUGUAAUCCCAUGGUAGUUCAUUCCCAAAAUGUAAGUUCCACUUCAACUGAUUAUUUAGAGCUGUUUUAUUCUGAUAAAAGUAUCUAAUAUCUUUAAGGCAUAAUUUUUUGGCAUCAACGACAACUCCAUUUUUAUAUAAAUUGACAAGAAUUUAUUAUUUUUAUAGGUCCAUCAGAAUGACUAUGGAUGCUAGAGUCUGUUUUUAAAACGUCAAUUUGUUGAGGUGUUAACGAAGAUUUAAUGCAGCUAUAUUGUGCAAUCCAAUUCCUUUUAUCUUUAAGACUGUUAAAAAUAUCAAAAGAAGUUUUAAAGGAUUUAUUGUUUAAGUCCCAUAUAUCUUUUAAUUUUUUUUAUUCCACUGGAGGCAAAAUUUGCAUAAUAUAAUGCAUGUCCCUUGAACUUAAAUUUACAAUUGCCGAAAAUAUUUUCUUCUAAAAGGUCCUCUUUCGUGACCGAUUUUUGGAUUUUCUGUAAGUCAGUCCAGGAAAUUAAAAGUUCUUUAUAAUAUUUGGACAUUUGUAUUUGCCUAUGUAGUGUCCGAACAAGAACAUAUAAAAAAGUCUGUAUCAUAUUUUUCGUCUAGUGACGUUAACCAGUAUUUUCCUAUUGCAUUUCAUUUUUGUGUUUUUUAGUUGACAAUACUGUACACACUUUUCUCUUGUUUUGAUUUAAUAAAGUCCCUUAAGUUUAUCAUUCCUAUCCCCCCUUUUUUCUUUCGGUAAACAGCACACUGUUCUAGCGAUUUGGUUUGUUUUCCCAUCCCAUAUAAAGGACCAUAUAAUAUUAUUUAUUUGUUUUUCGUAUAUAUCCGGGAUACCUCUCAUUUCAAUUUCGUAUCCAAUGACGGACAGUACAAAGGAUUUAAUAAUUAAAAUUUUUCCCGUAAAUGUGAGAUCUCUUGAUUUCAAAACUUCCAUACAGCUUUUUAUUUUAUUUAUUUUUUCUAACCAAAUUUGAUCUAAGUCCAGCCCAUAUCCAUGUAGUACCCCUAAUGCUUUCACAGGACGCUUAGACCAUUUAAUUUUGUUAAAUUCUGGUUUUUUAUUUCGCCACUUGCCUAAAUACAUGCCAACAGUCUUAUCCAUAUUCAUUUUAGCCCCCGAAGCAUUUUUGUACAGUUUUAAAGUUUUAAAUGUUUCUUCGAUAGACUCCUCGCUUUUAUUAAAGAGUUGAGUAUCGUCAGCAAACAUAUUUAGCUUUAUUUCAAUAAUAGAGUAUUUUAGUUUUAAACAUUAAUUUCUCAUUGAUACCAGGAUUAAAUUCCUGAGCGUUACUUCAUAACUCAUCAGUGAUGCUCAAAUCCAAACAAGUAAAAAAAAGCCCAAAUAAAUUAUAUACGCAAUUUGAGAGCAUUGAGGUCCAAUGGGCCAGCAGUUGUUAUAAAAUAUUUAGAAUUACUAAUGUUUUAUCUUUUGUAUUUGUCUUCUUUUUGCACUUACACAUUACUAGGCAUGCUCUUCCUUUUAGUACAAAUGAUAUAUUCUUUACGUCGUAACUACAAUCCUCUUCCCGUUUCAUGAAUGUGACUUAUCAAAUUAGACUAUUCACCGGGUUUGUAACAAUAUGAGCAACACGACUGGUGCCACAUGUGGAGCAGGAUAUGUAUGUUUACCCUUCCGGAGCACAUGAGAUCACUCCUAGUUUUUUGUUGGGGUUUGCGUUGCUUAGUCUUUAGUGUUUUAUGUUGUUUCUUGUGUACUAUUAUUUGUCUGUUUCUUUUUCAUUUUAAGCCAUUGCGUUGUCAGUUUAUUUUUUAUCUAUGAGUUUAACUGUCCCUCUUUUGAAGUACCUCUUAAUCAAUUACAUUCCACAUAAUCUUAUUCUUGUGGGUUUUUUUAUGUGUUACUAAUUCGAAAUUUAUAUGAUGUAAAAGGAUUGUACAGUAGAAGACUGAAGAAGUAACAAUUAUCUGUUUUACACUUUUAUUCAUCAUUUGGACAUUCCACGAUUUCGACACUUAUCUAAAAAAAAAUUACAGAUAAAUGGCAUUGUAUUUAUAUGAUAACAAUAGAUAUUUCAUUAUCUAAAUGAUAUACUUCGUACUUUAACUCAUCAUUUAUCAGAACCUAAAAAAAGUAAACAGAUGCUAGUGGAAAGGCGUGUCAUAGACAUAGAUUUCGUUAGUGUCGCUUUAAGCUUGAAUUUGAUAUAUAUCUAAAAUAUAAUUCUUUAUACGCUUCAAAACCUCGCUCAUCUAUCAUUGAAUUGAACAGUGAAUUUAGAUAAAAGAAUCGAGUAAUUUUUACAUCAAAAUUGCAUGAAAACCAAUUUUAUGUUCCAUUUAUAUGAAUCCAGUUGUUCAAUCGUCAAGAUGUGUCCAUUAGUGUCUUGAUGAUUUACCGUAUUAAGAUCCAUGGGUAUUAAGUUUUAUUUUGUUAUAAUUAAAAUAAGAAAUAACUACAUAUAGUUUAAAAUACAGUUAUGAACCCUUAUUGUCCUAAAUAUUGUUGAUUAUCUAUACAUUUGCAAACGCAGGUAUGGAUCACAUAUUUUGAAAAACAGGGUGCCAAUUUACCAGGAAAUAUUAGGAAAGGAACUUGUAAGUGAAUCAAUGCUAUAACAAUAUAUAUACAAUAUCCUGCCCUAUUAAAUUACUCUGUAAGAAAUAGUUACUAAAAAUAUUCAAUAAAUAACAAAAAAACAAAAAGAUUACGCAAAUAUUACUAAAGUAAAUCUGUAAAAUGAUUAAAGGACUAUACACUCACCUUGUUAAUGGCGACAAUGACACACAUUGUGGCUAUCACAGUAUGCACCUAAAUGUCCAAGAAACAGACAAUGAGUCAGACAGGCAGUCGUUCCAAGUUGUACACCAAAGAUAUUUGCACUGCCGGCCUCACAUGUCAACCUCCUCUGUGGUGCUACAAAUUGAAAGAUUCACAAGUUUAAUAGACACGUGUUUUCGAAGUCGCAAAAUAUGUUGAAGCUUAAUACAUUCAGUAUGUGCCCGUGCUAAAUCAGUAUUCUAUAAUUUGGUAGUUGUCGUUUGUUAAUGCCUGUAGUAUUUUGGGUGAGGUGAGAAAGGGUAUAAAUAAACUCGUUGUUUUUGUUGGAUAGUUGUCUCAUUGGUAAUCUAACCAUAUCUCCUUAUUUUUAUAUAAACUGUACAUAGAUAACUAUAAGAAGUCAGGUGAUCCUUAGAAGUUGAAGUACAAUUCCGGUCGUGAAUAUAUAAAUGAAAGACAAUAUCCAAUAAAAAUAUUUCGAGGGACUGCUACAUAUGAACAAAUACUUCUCAUAUAUACAAAGCAUAUUAACCAAUAAAACGAAGGCCAAAAACAGUUAAAAAGCCGCCUCUCUAAAUUAAACAUAAGAUAGGUUUAUCUGUAUGACCGUAGAGCUAUACGGCUUUAAUACAUAAGUGCCUAUCUUACAAUGAGUGUUGCGUAUUUGUGAAAUAGUUACGAAAAAAGAUAAUUCCUAUUUUGGUUUAUGCUAAUACUUUUGUUUCUCUUAUAAGAGCAUGGCCAGUAAAAUUAUGAAUAAACCAAUGAUAUAAACGAAAUAGCUACAAAAGGUUAUACAAAGAUGAAUUUGCCUCUCCGAAAAACAAAUGUCAUGACAAUCAGAAUAAAGCAGCUGAUCUGAUUCAAAUUUUUGAAAUUUCUCAGUAUUAGUUAGUAGCUAAAAAUGCUAUUGUUUUUGUCAAACGAGAUAAAAGAAUGAAGCGUUUCUGCGGGUGUUUGUUAUUUAACACAGUUGAGGCAAACAAAUAUUGAAUGACGUAAAUAAUGAUUAUGGAUAACAUACCUCCUUCUGUUCCUAAAUAGGAAAAGAUAGCAAAAUAUUAUAUUUCAUUUUAUUUAAUAUUUUUAUAAGUCCAUAUAUGAAAUUUUAAAUAAAAUAUAAGGCAAACGAAUAAACAAAUGACGAGAAAAUAUUGCAGUAUUACUGAGAAACUUUUACAAUAAACGAAUAGCGUAGUAACCAUGAUUUAACCUUUGGUUUUCUUUCUGUCAAUGUCUGUUUUACACAAAUUACAAAGACAUGGUUUAACGAACAAAACUUUAUAUAAAAAAGUCACGCAAUAAGAACAUUUUGUUAGCUUUUUUUUAAUACAAUUGAUAAAGUACAAACACUUACGUUUUUUUAUAUCGUUUAUGUAUAUGAAUGCUUUAAACUUUUUAAAGAGUGUUAACCUGUCACUAAGAAUCUUUGGAGAAAGUACAUGAACAGACUACCUACCAGAAAUAAGGAAAACAAGCCCGACAAUCAAAAACCCUAGUUUGAACAUAUUGAAGCGUUGAUAAGAAGAUGAUGUACACCAAUUGUUCUUCUCGCUUUUUAUACAUGAUGUGUUAUCUAUCGUGAUGUAAUCGCAUUUGUUCAUUGGUCAGUUAACUUACCAUUCAUAUUUAAAGAUAACUGGAACAACAAGGAAACCUCUUUGAAAUUGAUAUAGCAAACCAGACCAGACCAGACAAGACCCGAGUCGAUUUAAUUUGCAAAACAUUUGGUUGCACUGAGAAGUAAAAAUAGUAACAACGCUUUCUUUGUUAUAUGGGGACGAAGUUCCCAAUAACAGUAGAAAAAUCAAUAAAAUAUUUAAAAAAAAAAUCGAGAAAAUUUUCCCGAAAUUUUCAUUGUACUAAAGAACUCAAAAUCGUUCAAUUUUUUUUUAUGUCAUUUUUUGAAUUCCCGCAUCUCCUCAGAAAUCUACAAUGUACUUCCUUUUUCCGGUCUCGUUGAUAUGAAACUUUCAGUAAUUAUGUAUUUAUCAGUCUAGUAUAAAAUACGAAGGAACACAAUACCAAUUAUUUUUAAUAAUUCAUUGAUAUGAAAAAACGUUACCUGAUGAUAAUGUUUCUUUGUUUACAUUGCAUACGACGUCAUAACUUAAAUAACGUCACAACUAAAAUCCCUAACAACAGAACCAAAAUCGGAAACGUUACGGUAUUUCCGUUUCUUUUUUUUUUUUUUAACAAAUAUUUAAGUUACAAAAUAAAUAAUUUAUACACACUUCGUCCCCAUUUACAGGUAAUGCCUGCCUCAUAUUAAACUAGAAAGCCGAUCGGAUAUUCAUAGUUUAAAGCUUGGUAAAAAAUCAUGUUAUUCAAGUUCUGUAUUUCCAUUGAAUCCACUCCAUUUCUCGUUGUUAAAAUUUCUGAAACAUAUUUACUUUGUUGUGUCAAUGAAAGAUUAAGGCUAUGUUAUGUAAGAACCUUAUAAACCAAGAGCUUUAUCAUGCCGGAUUUAUUUUCAGAAUCAUGAAUAGAGACAACAUUAGUAUACCGCUGUACGAAAAUCAUAAAUGGAUUGAGAGAAAACAAAUCCAGGUUGUAAACUAAAACUGAGGUAAACACAUCAACUUUAAAAGGAAAUCAACGACACAACAGGAACACUGCAGUCAACUAAAAAAAACGACACUGCAACACACACAGAAACGAACUAUAAGAUAACAAAACCUAAUAAAUAUGCCAUAUCAAAAAUAUCGUCAACUCUCGCAUUUCAAUUUCAGAGACCGUUUUGUAUAACAAGUUUACAAUUUUAAAAAACAUGUUUUGCUCUUUAAAUGGAUUUAGCUAUUUUAAGUAAUUUUUGUCAUCAAGCUCUUCUUUUGAUAUUUUUCUUAUACAUCCUCAGCUUUCAAAUAUUCUGUUUUGAGCUUUCCUGGUGAAGAUAAAUCCUGAAAAGCAUUUCUGACGCGUGUAAUUAUUCAACGUGUUGUUUUCGUUUUUAAUGUCGUCUAUUACAUAAUUGUUUUUUUUUAUUAUUUAUUUUAUUGACAUACUGUUAUUCCCCUUAAAUCCAUAUUAAAAGCCAUAUAUUGUGGCGCUUAAAAUCAAACACAAAUCCUAACACAUGUUUAUAAUAACAUGAUGAAUAGAUAUUCAGAACAGUGUUUGUGUUCAGUUUGUUUAUUGUUUGUUUAUCUUGAGAUUUUCUGAAUUUAAAGGAACCGGCGCUUUGCUUUUGUGUGAAUUUAUCAUCCAUUUCUGAGGACCCACGUUGCAUAAAAGUUUACCUGUAUUAAGUUACGUUUCGGUGCUUUACCUACAUAUUUUCCUAUGUGAAUUAAAUAGAAAUUUAGUGAUUUGAUCGCGCUUGCCAUUAAUUUCAAAGACGGAAGUUCGGAGCUUUGAAAAUGUUGUUAAGCCAAACAGUCCUUCAUAUAAAGACUACAGCUAUUAUAUUGAAUAUUAUUUUAUUAGGGAGUCUAGAAUAAAGCCACAAAUGGGACGACUGUUCCAAAUCAAAGCUGAUAAUUUUCCAAUUGUGGAGUUGUUUCACAGCCUUCUAAAUGAACAGUUUAUUUCAACUCAACCUGCCAUCUUCAUCUCAAAUGUGACUAUACUGUGAGUAGGUUCUCUGGACUAAUGUUUUUUUAAAGUACGCGGAAGCAAUAAUCUAGCUAAUGUGAAACGCACAAAUGAAGACUAAGUUUACAGCUAAAACAAAUCUUAUAUUUCGACUUGGAAAUAUUGAGUUACUAUAGUGUAGUACACGUACAUGUAUAUUCAUAUAGAUUACUCCUGUCAAUGACAUACAUGCUGUGUGUUCUUUGUGUGAUCUUCAUAUGUAAUUAAAAUGUUUCUUUCAAGGAAAAUAAUUCUGUUUUUAUUCCAGACUUUGCUUUUUACAUACAUGUAUUGCUUUUUGUGUUCAAAACAAAACGUUAAAGAAUUUUGACAAUUGUUGAAGACAUCUUAAUAUGCCUUUUAAUGUUUUUGUCUAUCUGCUGAUGUCUCUUUCAAAUCACAGUUCAAUAAAAAUAGUUCACGAAUUGUGUCAAUUCAAGUCUGUUAUAUCAAUUUUCAAAAGAUGUUUCCUUUUCGUUCCAGAUAGCUGUAGAUAUGAAUGGUUAGUUAACUGGCCAAUAGACAGAUGAACGUACAUCAUGAUAGAUAAGCCGUCAUAUAUAAAAUUUAAGAACACUAGUGAUGUACAUCUUUUUUUUUAAUCACAGCUUCAAUAUGUUCAAACUAUGUUUACUGUUUGUCGGACUUGUUGUCCUUGUUUCUGGUAUGUCCUCUUUUUGCUAAUUAUAUAUGCUCUUCAAAGUCUUUAACUUGUUUAUACAAUUCAUUUACAGAAACCAUCUAUUCUUAUAUAAAGGUUUGUCAUUAAUGAUGAAAUAGUGUGUCAGUAUGUGUCUCAACAUGUCAAGAUCUCAACCCACACAGGCUUUUAAGCUUAAGAUAUAAUUCAUUUAAAAAUUGGAUUAAGGCUAAUAUUUUAAGACAGAAAAUUCUAUAAUAUAUAAAGUACACUUGGAAAAAUAUGAUAAUACUUCUAUCUUUAUUUCUUUAGGAACGGAAGGAGGUAUGUUUUUCAUUAUUGUCAUUAUCAUUAGCAUUAGCGUUAUCAUUUUAAAGAUUCAAUUGAAGAUCUAGACACUUGAGGAAACGCGGAUAUAUAAAUCUGAUUGAAUAUGUGAUUGGUUGUUGUGUCAUAAGUUAACUAAAUGUGGAAAAAUAUGGAAAACGAAAACAUUUUGCUGAAUUGUGUAUUUUUCCAACUAUUUAGUGAAACCAUCAAAUAAAUAAUGGAAAAUGAGGAUAACAAAUAGACAACUUUUGAGGUUCGAUGCAAUACCGUCAAAAACUUUGGAUUUACUGAACAUCAUUCAUGAGGGGGUAGGAGGGGUCCUGAUCCCGAAAUCCCGGGCUUAAAAAACGCGAAAUCCCGAGGUCCCGAAAUUCGAAAAAAAGAAUUCCCGGAUCCCGCAAUUGUCAAUCCAGAAAUCCCGAGCUUAAACACACCCGAUCCCGGCGUCCCGAUAAAGUUCCUAUCCCUUCAUUCAUGUGUUUAUGGGCAUCGUCACUUCCGUUCGAAUGUUGAUCGAGUUGUUUGAAAACUAUGAUGAUAUCUUGCACCAAUUAUUCGCCAUUGAAUUUUCAAAAUUUUCAAUCAGUCAUUGUGAUUAAGCACCUACAGAACAAACAGUAUUUCUAGUUUACCCUGUAUAAUGAGAUCUGUAAGACGCUUAAUGGACGAUAAUAGUGUAGCGAUACAGGCGAUCAACUCUAUUUGGUAAAUGACGUCAUAAAGUCGCGUAUAAUUGAUGAGUAUUUUCCGGUGACAAGAUAGGAUAAGAAGUAACAAACGACAACCCCUAGAUAUAGGCUCACUUUGAAGAUGUGAUUUCAUACAAGUUUGCAAUUAAUAAACCUGAGGUAUGACAAAGACGUUAAUACGACAUCAAGAUAAAAUAAUUUUCCAUAUUAAAAAUCAGUUGAAUCAUCAAAAACACAACUUCCAAAAUAAUAUAAUGAAAGCUAGUUCGAAGUCAUUAACAACUACUAAAAAUAUUAUGGUGUCCAGACUAAAAUAUCAAAAUGGUAUUGCUAACAUAGAAAUAGUCAACAAAUGUCCUUUUGAUCUUUUUUAGGAUUUUUUUACUUUUCUAUUGUAUUCGAUUGUAUAUCAAAAUCAAGGUUUAUUUACUUUAUAUAGUAAAGUCUAUUUAUUUCUCUUUACUAGAUAUUAAACUAAAAAGUAUUCGAGAAAAAAUGAACUUUUAAUUGUGAAAUUUGUCAUUUUAAGACUUCGAAAAAAAGAGACUUGUAAAGCAUUGGUACUUUCUAUAACAAAUAUUUCUAUUAAACUUGUGAACUUUUUUCUAUUCGAAGCACCACAGAAGAGAUUGACAUGUGAAGUUGGAAGUUUUAGUUUCUUUGGUUUCCAACUUGGGUCGUCUGUUUGCAAGGCUCAUUGUCAGUAUUUGGGACAUUCAGAUGCAUAUUGUGAUAGCCACAAUGUGUGUCAUUGUCGAUAAAGAAGGUCAGUUUAUAGUAUUUUCAUAGUUCAUAGAUGUUUUAUUGACGAAUAAUUUUAAAAUAUGUUGGCAUAGUACGAAAUGUUUUCUAUAAAAAAUGAAUUCUCUUAAACUUUUAAUUACUACACGAGAAAUAUAAUUGUACAUUGCUCUGCUGUGUAUUGGUGUCGGUAAUGGUAAAAAUGUUUGUCAACUCCUCUGUCCAUAUCGUAAACUUCCAGAUGUGUGAUUUCUAGUUUCGAAAAUGAGGCCAUUUCAAGUAUGAGGUUAAAUUUUUUCGUAGUUAAGUGUUCCCCGAAAAGUCGCUUAAAAACUUUAGUAAGAAAAUGACUUUAUAAAAAAACUACACAUUUCACGACUGCAUUACAUAAUCAUCAGAUUUAGAUUUUGUUUCCAAAAGUGUACUUUUUGACAUAGUGAUGGUGCAAAUCUCAUGUGCAACCCUAGCUCCUCCUUUCAUGUACUCGGCCUUAAACCAGGGAAAUGGCGAGAAUAAGAGUAUUCACAGCUACGUUUUCAUACUUCCCAGACAGACAUACAAAGAUAUUCAAAGGAUCAAGUAUCAAGACGCAAUCAAAGUAGUAUCAACUUAUGUCAGAUGCAAAUUUCGGCAACUUAUUCCAUUCAAAUGUUUUCCAUUCAAACGUGUUUAGUCUGAUUUUGGCGUGUGAAUUUUCUCAAUUCAUCUGUUGACUUGUACAGCUGGCUUUGAUCACAGACAAAUUUCAAAGUGAUUUAAGAAUUUUAUUCUCACAAUAACCAAUGCAGGCUUACAGCUAACUAUUAAAUCCAAGUGACAUCACACAUAUAACCAUUUCUUAGAAUUGAGUAGUUAACGUAUAACUUUUAUAAUCAAAGAAUUUUUGGAUGAUCAGACAUAUUUAUCUCCAGUCAACACUUGUAAAAUUAUUCACUAUAUAUCUACAAUCUUGUUCAAUGUCUUUUCAGAUAACUCGAUGGAAUGGUGGGAUACACGAAGUACAAAUGAUGAAUAAAGUAGCAUAACA
rnacentral:lncRNA from 1 species